UCCCUAGUAGCUCAGUUGGUAAAGAAUCUGCCUGCAAUGCAGGAGACCCAGGUUCGAUCCCUGGGUCGGGAA
rnacentral:tRNA from 1 species